rnacentral:rRNA from 1 species
UACGUAGGGUGCGAGCGUUGUCCGGAAUUACUGGGCGUAAAGAGCUCGUAGGCGGCUCAGUAAGUCAGGUGUGAAAACUCCAGGCUCAACCUGGAGACGCCACCUGAUACUGCUGUGGCUAGAGUCCGGUAGGGGAGCAUGGAAUUCCUGGUGUAGCGGUGAAAUGCGCAGAUAUCAGGAGGAACACCAGUGGCGAAGGCGGUGCUCUGGGCCGGAACUGACGCUGAGGAGCGAAAGCGUGGGGAGCAAACAGG